rnacentral:lncRNA from 1 species
UGGUAUUCUGCUCUCUUUCUCGAUCAAUUUCUUCUAAGCUCCGGCCGCGGCGAUGAAGCUUGUGAUAUGUAUCGACAUGUAUAUCAUCAUAGAAUCGUCGGCUAUCAUCUCCAUAUGUCCAAUUUGAUGAAAAAUCGUGUAGAUUUGGGUAAGAACUACUAGUCCUCCUCAUGGUGGAACUUUUGUAGACCUUAUUUUCAUUAUCUAAAUAUUGAUCAUACCAUUGAUUUGCAGUAGUUGCAUUGGAUUUCUGAGCUUCAUCUGUAGAAUAAUUAUACCAUUGAUACGGGGUUGAUGGAUUUGAUUUCUGGGUUUCAUUUUGUUUAAUGGAUGAAGUUUGAUAUUCAUAAUAUCUAUCUCCAUUGUUGUUUCUG